rnacentral:rRNA from 1 species
AUUUUUUUGAGUUGAUUAAAAAUGAGCCCUGCUCAAUGUAUAAUAAAUUGCCGCGGUAUUUUGACUGUGCAAAGGUAGCAUAAUAAUUAGUCUUGUAAUUUAAGACUGGAAUGAAGGGGUAAACUAGGGGGCUUGUUUUUCGACAUCUCUUUUUAAAUUUACUUUUCAGUAAAAAGGCUGAAAUGUUUCUUUUAGACAAGAAGACCCUAUAAAGCUUCACAUAAAAUAAUUUAUUAAAUUAAAAAUAUGUUUUACUGGGGCGGUAAAGAAACAAACAUUCUUGAAAUUUAAAAAUAAGAUUAUUCUAAUACCCAAAAAUUUUGAAAACUAAAUAAGCUACUUUAGGGAUAACAGCGUAAUAUGUUUUGAAAGUUCAAAUUGACAAGCAUGUUUGCGACCUCGAUGUUGGAUUAAGUAACCUUUUUUGCGCAAGAGCAAAAAACGGGGGUCUGUUCGACCCAUAAAAACUUCCA